UCCUGUCUGUAAAAUCUCCACUGUCUUAUCCCAAUAAAGGGCAUUUGAAGCUAAGCAGGGCUGCGCCCGGUCAGUACCUGGAUGGGAGACCACAUGGGAAAGCUAGGUUGCUGCCGGAA
rnacentral:rRNA from 1 species